GACGAACGCUGGCGGCGUGCUUAACACAUGCAAGUCGAACGGAAAGGCCCUGCUUUCGUGCGGUGCCCGAGUGGCGAACGGGUGAGUAACCCGUGAGUAUCCUGCCCUUGACUUUGGGAUAACGUCAGGAAACUGGGGCUCAUACCGGAUAGGCGCUCCUGCUGCAUGGUGGGGGUUGGAAAGUUUCGGCGGUUGGGGAUGGACUCGCGGCUUAUCAGCUUGUUGGUGGGGUAGUGGCUUACCAAGGCUUUGACGGGUAGCCGGCCUGAGAGGGGGACCGGCCCACUUGGGACUGAGAUACGGCCCGGACUCCUACGGGAGGCAGCAGUGGGGAAGAUAGCACGAUGGGCGGAAGCCGGAUGCAGCAACGCCGCGUGCGGGAUGAUGGCCUGCGGGUUGUAGACCGCUUUCGCCUGUGACGAAGCGGGAGUGACGGUAAUGGGUAAAGAAGCACCGGCUAACUACGUG
rnacentral:rRNA from 1 species